ensembl:lncRNA
GCUUUUUAAAAAAUUUUAGGUGGCACUAUGGAGUCAGUUUGGAACAUUUAUUGAAGAGAGCUAUGGAACUGGAAAGAAUACAUCACAUUGGAAGCGUGUGCCAAAUUUCAUGACUUUUUGACCUUUCCAAGCAUAUUAAAAAAUACUUUCUGAUUCAAGGAAAAUCGCAAUGCCACCAGGGUGCGCCAUUUAAUAAAGUCACAAUUUUUACACUAAGGCAGGGGUAGGCAACUCCAGGCCUCGAGUGCGGUUGUCCUGCAGGUUUUAGAUGUGUCCUUGAUCCAAUGCAGCUGAUUCAAAUUGCUAAAUUACCUACUUAACAUGUCUUGAAGUUCUCAAGAGGCCUGGUAAUGAACUAAUCAUUUGAUCCAAGUGUGUUGACCCAGGCUGAGAUCUAAAACCUGCAGGACAUCGGCCCUCGAGACCAGGAGUUGCUCACCCCUGCACUAAGGCAUCAUCAGUGUCUGAUGUUUAUUAUGAGCACUUUUGAGGUGAAAAUGAUCAACCUGGGAGAAGUACAAUAAGUACAUUUACAUAAUGAUUGAAACGAGCACCACUGCUGAACAACAGGAUGUGAGGCACUCUUCCCAGCUUUUCUAGGGGAAUACCAGAGUGUUCCCAAGCUAGCCAGGAGAUCUUAAUCAGAACAAGAACCCACAGGAUGUGGCACAAGACCAAGGCCUCACCCUGCAACACAAAGGAUCUACAUCCAGGCUACCAACCAAAGGACACCUCAGAUGCUUUGUGUCUUGAUCAGUGCUUACAAAAUAUGGGGCCCAGUGGAGCCUGUAGAUGAUGCUUACACUCCAGGCACAUCUCUGCAAAGCAAAC